rnacentral:rRNA from 1 species
GACGAACGCUGGCGGCGUGCUUAACACAUGCAAGUCGAGCGGUAAGGCCCUUUCGGGGGUACACGAGCGGCGAACGGGUGAGUAACACGUGGGUGACCUGCCUUUAGCUCUGGGAUAAGCCUGGGAAACUGGGUCUAAUACCGGAUAUGACUCCGCGGUGCAUGCUGUGGGGUGGAAAGCCUUGUGCGGCUGGAGAUGGGCCCGCGGCCUAUCAGCUUGUUGGUGGGGUGAUGGCCUACCAAGGCGACGACGGGUAGCCGGCCUGAGGAGGGCGACCGGCCACACUGGGACUGAGACACGGCCCAGACUCCUACGGGAGGCAGCAGUGGGGAAUAUUGCGCAAUGGGCGAAAGCCUGACGCAGCGACGCCGCGUGAGGAAUGAAGGCCU